AAUCACAUGAUGAGUUACUCGGAUUUUCCUUCAAGACAUCAUGGGUGAUGCAAAAAUCGAGUUUCUGAUGCA
rnacentral:snoRNA from 1 species